UGAGGGAAAAUGGUCUGUAAUUUCCUUUGAGUCUGUGUGUGGUUUGGGUUUCAGAAUAACUAACAGGCCUUAUAAAAUGGAUGUGGCAAUGUUCCUUCUGUUUCUAGUUUGAGAAGUAUUGGUAUUAUGUCUUCUUUGAAAGUCUGGUAGAAUUCUGUGCUAAAACUAUCAGACCUUGGGUUUUUGGUUGUUUGUUUUUGGUUGGGAGACUUUUAAUGACUGCUUCUAUUUCCUUAGGGGCUAUAGUUCUAUUUAUAUUGUUUACUGAUCUUGAUUUAACUUUGGUAAGUGGUAUCUACCAAGAAAAUUGUUCAUUUCUUUUAGGUUUUCCAACUUAUAGAGUAGAGUGGUAGCUAUGGUCCACCAGGGAGUCUCCAACAGAGGUGGAGGCUAGACUGCCUGGCAGUUAGCCUGGUCUUUGGUCCAGCAGAGGUUCUCUGUUCUGACUGGCAUAUCCUGUGCCUGUUCACUGAUAGGGCUGACCCUAAGCAGCAGUUAUCUGCCCAUGGAAUAGGGACUUGGCAGUGGGAAGGCGGGAAGGGAUGACUUGGUUCUUUGGCAUCUGAACGGAGGAUGUAGAAGAGUUCUGAGUAGACCUCUUACUGUUCUGACGGGCAUGGUCUGUGCCUGAGCCUAGAUGUCUACCUCACCUUUUCUUUUUUCUUUUGUUUGUUUGUUUCAAGACAGGGUUUUUCUUUGUAGCCCUGGCUGUCCUGGAACUCACUCAGAAGACCAUGCUGGCCUCAAACUCAGAGACCUACCUGCCUCUGCAUCAAGAGUGCUGGGAUUAAAGGCAAGUUCUACUACCCCCCACUUGGCUAAUCACUUUUUCUUAAUUUUUUUUUAUGUUUUUGCUAGCUUCUAAUUAUUGUACAUAAAGAAUUUCAUUACAUUUCACACAUGUAAUGUUACUCCAUCCCUUUUCCCAACUUGUCCCCCUUCUCCUUCCACGGUUUUUUGUUUUGUUUUUUAAGGUAGUGACCCAGUGGUUUUCAUCGGGUUGCUUAGAAGGGUUUCCUUACAGGAGGAGUCUGAGCACCUUACCAGGGUCUACGUUCUCUCAGUCAUUGUGAAUAAUCCUUAGGAGGGUUAGGAACCCGUGAGCCCUUUUCCUUCCAUUAUAUGAUAGUUCUUUUCUUUUUUGAGACAUAGCACUAACUAUCCUGGAACGCACUAUGUAGACCAGACUUGGCCUCAAACUCACAGAAAGGCACCUGCUUCUGUCCCCUGAGUGCUGGAAUUAAAGGUCUGCCCCACCAU
rnacentral:lncRNA from 1 species